GCCAAUCACAGCCCUAACACCCAUCAAAAGAAUUAUCUCAACAAACAAAAAAAAACAUUUAACCUAUCACAGUAUAGGAGAUAGAACAGAUAAAUAGGCGCAAUAACAUUA
rnacentral:rRNA from 1 species